rnacentral:rRNA from 1 species
CAUGCAAGUCGAGCGAAUCAAUGGGAGCUUGCUCCCUGAGAUUAGCGGCGGACGGGUGAGUAACACGUGGGUAACCUGCCUGUAAGAUUGGGAUAACUCCGGGAAACCGGAGCUAAUACCGGAUAACAUUUUGAACCGCAUGGUUCAAAAUUGAAAGGUGGCUUUUGCUACCACUUACAGAUGGACCCGCGGCGCAUUAGCUAGUUGGUGAGGUAACGGCUCACCAAGGCAACGAUGCGUAGCCGACCUGAGAGGGUGAUCGGCCACACUGGGACUGAGACACGGCCCAGACUCCUACGGGAGGCAGCAGUGGGGAAUUUUGGACAAUGGGCGCAAGCCUGAUCCAGCCAUGCCGCGUGCAGGAUGAAGGCCUUCGGGUUGUAAACUGCUUUUGUACGGAACGAAAAGGUUCUUUCUAAUAAAGAGAGCUCAUGACGGUACCGUAAGAAUAAGCACCGGCUAACUACGUGCCAGCAGCCGCGGUAAUACGUAGGGUGCAAGCGUUAAUCGGAAUUACUGGGCGUAAAGCGUGCGCAGGCGGUUGUGCAAGACAGAUGUGUAAUCCCCGGGCUCAACCUGGGAAUGGCAUUUGUGACUGCACGGCUAGAGUGUGUCAGAGGGGGGUAGAAUUCCACGUGUAGCAGUGAAAUGCGUAGAUAUGUGGAGGAAUACCGAUGGCGAANGCAGCCCCCUGGGAUACACUGACGCUCA